AGAAAUGUUGACUUUGACACUAAUAUUAAUAUUAUAGCUCUCACAGAAGCGAAAAUAUGGGGUCUGGUGUAAUAGUGGUGUAUUGUCGGUGGUCAUUUUUUAAAAUGUCUAUAAAAUAAAUGAAGGGUGGUCUAACUUGUCUCUUUGGAUAAAAUGUUUCCUAUGGCCCUAAGGUACUUCCAUGCCAAAGGAACAGUAAAUCUCAGUCUAGGGGGAGGGGUGGGGGGUAAGUUAACCUGUUAAAACGUUCAUUUUAUAAUGAAAUUUGCAUAUUUUACCCCCUACUGUCAUGGUAAUUAAUGAUGCAUUGGGUUUUUUGAAUUGAAACCUAUUUAAUUGAAUUCCUAGACCCCAAAAAUGUGCACUUUGACACCAAUAUUAUGAUUAUAGCUCUAACAGAAGCAAAGAUAUGGGGUCUGGUGUAUUAGCGGUUUAUUGUCGGCGGCCAUUUUUAAAAUGUCUAUAAAAUAAAUGAAGGGUGAUCUAACUUGUCUCUUUGGAUAAAAUGUUUCCUAUGGCCCUAAGGUACUUCCAUGCCAAAGGAAAAGUAAAUCUCAGUUUAGGGGGAGGGGUGGGGGGGUAAGUUACCCUGUCAAAACGUUCAUUUUUU